GCAAUGGGCAAGGCGCCUGAUCCAGCCAUAUAGUAAGAGUAGGAACUCAAAAGAAAAAAGAAAAGAAUGAUAGAAGUUUUCAUUAUAUCCUGACUAAUUACGUGCCAGCAGUCGCGGUAAGACGUGAAGGAUAAGCGUAAUUCAUAAUUACUAGGUGUAAAGCGUCUGUAGGCGGCGAAAGCUAGAGUCUGACUAGGUAAUUGUAAUUUAAUAAGUAAGGAUAAAAUCUGUUGAUGUAUUAAAGAACACUAUGCGAAGGCAUAUUUCUAUGAAGGACUGACGCUAAGAGACUAAAGUGUGGGUAGCGAAAAGGAU
rnacentral:rRNA from 1 species